AAGCACUCAUCCGAAUCGGUUAUGCUCCUGAAAUCAGUCUAUUGCUUGUUUAACUAGUCUGAUUGUGACCUCUACCCUUCACCUGACAGGACAAAGUGGGAAUCACCAGAUGUAGCCCAGCAAUAAGUGAUCCCACCGAAGUCAAAGGGAGCUGCAGUGUGCUUGAGAACAGAAUCUGUCCCCAAGUUAACUCACCUCUUCUGGUCUCUGUUGGUGAUUUUAUAAAAAGGUAAAGUAUGCAG
rnacentral:lncRNA from 1 species